rnacentral:rRNA from 1 species
AGCGAACGCUGGCGGCAGGCCUAACACAUGCAAGUCGAACGAACUCUUCGGAGUUAGUGGCGGACGGGUGGGUAACACGUGGGAACGUGCCUUUCGGUUCGGAAUAACUCAGGGAAACUUGUGCUAAUACCGAAUGCGCCCUUCGGGGGGAAGAUUUAUCGCCAUUAGAGCGGCCCGCGUCUGAUUAGCUAGUUGGUGAGGUAACGGCUCACCAAGGCGACGAUCAGUAGCUGGUCUGAGAGGAUGACCAGCCACACUGGGACUGAGACACGGCCCAGACUCCUACGGGAAGCAGCAGUGGGGAAUCUUGCGCAAUGGGCGAAAGCCUGACGCAGCCUUGCCGCGUGAAUGAUGAAGGUCUUAGGAUUGUAAAAUUCUUUCACCGGGGACGAUAAUGACGGUACCCGGAGAAGAAGCCCCGGCUAACUUCGUG